GCGCACCUCGACAGCG
rnacentral:rRNA from 1 species